GCAGUACUGUCUACCGUGUGAGCGUGUGACCCUUCGGGGAAUUUGCACAGGUGCUGCAUGGCCGUCGUCAGCUCGUGUCGUGAGAUGUUGGGUUAAGUCCCGCAACGAGCGCAACCCUUGUGAUUAGUUGCCAGCGCGUCAUGGCGGGAACUCUAAUCAGACUGCCCAGAUCAACUGGGAGGAAGGUGGGGACGACGUCAGGUCAGUAUGGCCCUUACGCCCAGGGCUGCACACGUACUACAAUGCCCAGUACAAUGAGAACCGAUGCCGCGAGGUGGAGGAAAUCUGUAAAACUGGGCCCAGUUCGGAUUGGAGGCUGCAACUCGCCUCCAUGAAGUUGGAAUCGCUAGUAAUGGCGCAUCAUCUACGGCGCCGUGAAUACGUUCCCGGGUCUUGUACCCACGCAAAA
rnacentral:rRNA from 1 species